GUGGGGAAUCUUGCGCAAUGGGCGAAAGCCUGACGCAGCCAUGCCGCGUGAAUGAUGAAGGUCUUAGGAUUGUAAAAUUCUUUCACCGGGGACGAUAAUGACGGUACCCGGAGAAGAAGCCCCGGCUAACUUCGUGCCAGCAGCCGCGGUAAUACGAAGGGGGCUAGCGUUGCUCGGAAUUACUGGGCGUAAAGGGCGCGUAGGCGGACAGUUUAGUCAAAGGUGAAAGCCCAGGGCUCAACCUUGGAAUUGCCUUUGAUACUGGCUGUCUUGAGUACGGGAGAGGUGAGUGGAACUCCGAGUGUAGAGGUGAAAUUCGUAGAUAUUCGGAAGAACACCAGUGGCGAAGGCGACUCACUGGCCCGUUACUGACGCUGAGGCGCGAAAGCGUGGGGAGCAAACAGGAUUAGAAACCCCGGUAGUCC
rnacentral:rRNA from 1 species